rnacentral:rRNA from 1 species
UACGUAGGGGCAAGCGUUGUCCGGAUUUAUUGGGCGUAAAGAGCGUGUAGGCGGCUUUCUAAGUCAGGGGUGAAAUCCUGGAGCUCAACUCCAGAACUGCCUUUGAUACUGGAGAGCUUGAGUCCGGAAGAGGUGAGUGGAACUCCGAGUGUAGAGGUGAAAUUCGUAGAUAUUCGGAAGAACACCAGUGGCGAAGGCGGCUCACUGGUCCGGGUA